AAUUAAAAAAGUUUGGCGGUAAUUUAAACUAAUUAGAGGAACCUGUAUAUAAAAUGAUAAUCCUCAAAUAUUUUACUUAAAAUUGAAAAAACAGCUUAUAUAUCGCCGUUAAAGAUUUAUUUAGAAGAAUUUUUUCUUAAAUAGUUUAUUAAUAAAUUCAGGUCUAGGUGUAGCAAAUAUUUAAGUUUAUAUGGGUUACAAUAAGAGGGGGUUAAAUGGAUAUUAAAUGAAACAUUUAAUAGAAAAGUGGAUUUAAUUGUAAAUUUUUAUAAUUAUGGUUAAUUGAAAAAGCCCUAAAUUAUGU
rnacentral:rRNA from 1 species